UUGCUUAUGAUCGGGUAUCCGACUCCUGAGAGGUGUGAGGAGCGGUCACCCCUGGAACUGAGAACUACAAGGUACCAGACUCCUACGGGAGGCAGUCAGUAGGGAAUUAUUAAGAUCAAUGGGGGAAACCCUGAAGCAGCAACGCCCCGUGGAGGAUGAAGGUUUUAGGAUUGUAAACUCCUUUUGUUAGAGAAGAUAAUGACGGUAUCUAACGAAUAAGCACCGGCUAACUCCGUGCCAGCAGCCGCGGUAAUACGGAGGGUGCAAGCGUUACUCGUGCAUAUCACUGGGGGNAAANAGCGCGUAGGCGGGAUAGUCAGUCAGGUGUGAAUAUCCUAUGGCUGAACAUAGAACUUCNUUGAAACUGAGAUCUAGAGUGUGGAGAGGUAGGGAUU
rnacentral:rRNA from 1 species